rnacentral:lncRNA from 1 species
AAAAAAAUUAAAAGGAGAUUAAUGAAGAAUUGUUACCAUUUUGUAGAGGUGAUAAUUAGGGAUGUAGAAUUUAGAAUUUUUAGAGUUUUCUUUUUUUUUGUGGCUUAAGGAAAAAUAAUAAUAAUUUCUGAGAGAAUUAUACGUAGAAUAACUGCUUCUAAAAUAAUUUCUCUACUGUCCUCGAAAAGUUUUGAAAAAAUAGUUUUCCGGGAAAACGUCCUUUUCCACUGUUUUUGUUUUAUCGGAUUAAAAA